rnacentral:rRNA from 1 species
AUACGUAGGUGGCAAGCGUUGUCCGGAAUUACUGGGUGUAAAGGGCGUGUAGGCGGGGAUGCAAGUCAGAUGUGAAAUUCCGGGGCUCAACCCCGGCACUGCAUCUGAAACUGUGUCUCUUGAGUGCUGGAGAGGAAAGCGGAAUUCCUAGUGUAGCGGUGAAAUGCGUAGAUAUUAGGAGGAACACCAGUGGCGAAGGCGGCUUUCUGGACAGUAACUGGCGCUGAGGCGCGAAAGCGUGGGUAGCGAGCAGGAUUAGAUGCCCUGGUAGUCCACGCCGUAAACGAUGGAUACUAGGUGUAGGAGGUAUCGACCCCUUCUGUGCCGGAGUUAACACAAUAAGUAUCCCACCUGGGGAGUACGGCCGCAAGGUUGAAACUCAAAUGAAUUGGCGGG